GACGAACGCUGGCGGCGUGCUUAACACAUGCAAGUCGAACGGAAAGGCCCUGCUUUUGUGGGGUGCUCGAGUGGCGAACGGGUGAGUAACACGUGAGUAACCUGCCCUUGACUUUGGGAUAACUUCAGGAAACUGGGGCUAAUACCGGAUAGGAGCUCCUGCUGCAUGGUGGGGGUUGGAAAGUUUCGGCGGUUGGGGUUGGACUCGCGGCUUAUCAGCUUGUUGGUGGGGUAGUGGCUUACCAAGGCUUUGACGGGUAGCCGGCCUGAGAGGGUGACCGGCCACAUUGGGACUGAGAUACGGCCCAGACUCCUGCGGGAGGCAGCAGUGGGGAAUAUUGCACAAUGGGCGGAAGCCUGAUGCAGCAACGCCGCGUGCGGGAUGACGGCCUUCGGGUUGUAAACCGCUUUCGCCUGUGACGAAGCGUGAGUGACGGUAAUGGGUAAAGAAGCACCGGCUAACUACGUG
rnacentral:rRNA from 1 species